rnacentral:rRNA from 1 species
GACGAACGCUGGCAGCGUGCCUAACACAUGCAAGUCAGGGAUUGAAUGAAGGGUAGCAAUACUUUUUAUUCAAUACCGGCGCACGGGUGAGUAACACGUAGGCAAUCUACCCUCAGGCGGGGAACAACAUCGAGAAAUCGGUGCUAAUACCGCAUAAUGCAACGAGACCACAUGAUCUUGUUGUUAAAGAUCCGCAGGGAUCACCAGAGGAUGAACCNGCGUCCGAUUAGCUAGUUGGCGGAGUAACAGCCCACCAAGGCGACGAUCGGUAGCCGACCUGAGAGGGUGAUCGGCCACACUGGAACUGAGAUACGGUCCAGACUCCUACGGGAGCAGCAGUGAGGAAUAUUGGUCAAUGCCGAAAGCNGAACCAGCAACGCCGCGUGAGGGAUG